GUGAGGGUGAUCUGGCUGCAACAUCUGUCACCCCAUUGAUCACCAGGGUUGACUCAGCUUAUCUGGCUACCAGGAGGGUGUCCUCUUCCUCCUCACUGUGAGCCCUUCCCCAGGCUGUGUGCUGGGGGGGUAGGGGUGGGGUGUUACGGGAUGACACAAAGGACAGCUACUCCAAUACAGGAGGAGAGGCCUGUCUAUAAGCUUCAUACCCUGAACCAAUUCAUGUCAAUUUGUUCAGAGUUUUGGACUUA
rnacentral:snRNA from 1 species